rnacentral:rRNA from 1 species
AUUGAUCGCUGGCGGCAGGCCUAACACAUGCAAGUCGAGCGGAUGAAGGGAGCUUGCUCCUGGAUUCAGCGGCGGACGGGUGAGUAAUGCCUAGGAAUCUGCCUGGUAGUGGGGGAUAACGUCCGGAAACGGGCGCUAAUACCGCAUACGUCCUGAGGGAGAAAGUGGGGGAUCUUCGGACCUCACGCUAUCAGAUGAGCCUAGGUCGGAUUAGCUAGUUGGUGGGGUAAAGGCCUACCAAGGCGACGAUCCGUAACUGGUCUGAGAGGAUGAUCAGUCACACUGGAACUGAGACACGGUCCAGACUCCUACGGGAGGCAGCAGUGGGGAAUAUUGGACAAAGGGCGAAAGCCUGAUCCAGCCAUGCCGCGUGUGUGAAGAAGGUCUUCGGAUUGUAAAGCACUUUAAGUUGGGAGGAAGGGCAGUAAGUUAAUACCUUGCUGUUUUGACGUUACCAACAGAAUAAGCACCGGCUAACUUCGUG